AAAAGAAAUGUAUGUUUCUGAGACUGAGAAUCUGGGCAAGUUUUGAAGUGUUUUAAUAAGAAAACAAAUAUCCAAGGGAAGAAGAAUAUCUAACUUUCUUCUUUUUGCUUUCUUUCCUAGGGUAUAUUUCAUCCUACACAGAGUUGCUCAAAAGUACUGUGGCUCUUUUAAAAGGGGAGCCACAGAGCUUGGACUCCCGUGUGGAGCAGUGUGAGCCCAGGGCAGGUGUUUCUCAGGAGCGCCGUGCAAAGCUGCAUGAGUCAGCUUGGUAGCUGGCUUGCUUCAUGGCUCAGAAAACAAUGAAGUACUGGAGGGAGGCUGUGGGGAGAGCAUCAGCAAAGAACCCCACUGUUUUUAAGUUUUUUUAAGACCUAGGAACAAUGGAAGAUGAACGAAUGUAAGGAUAGGUGGACUGGAACAAAGACAGAAGUUAGGUAUGGGAGGGUGGGGAGUACAGGAAAUAGGAGGGAGCUCAGGGAAGCCUACAGGGAGGCUACCUUAAGCUGCCAUUAGCUUGGGAACUUAGAUUUGCAUAGCGGAGAAUGGCUAUUCCAGGCUGAGGAAACAGGAUGAGCAAAGGCAUAAUGCAUGCAUUUGUGUCUUCUACUGUGAGGUAAUGGGUAAGUAGCUCAUUCUUCAGAGCUUGGGUUGCUUCACUUGCAAAACUGCUCUAGUAAUUCCUCCUGGGGUUCUGGAAGCAUCACACUAGACAGUGUUUGUAAAUGUUCAAGUUAGCGUUGGUCGCUUUCCUUCCAUGAUAGAUGUCACAUUUUGCCAGCCUUAUUCCCUGGUUCAGUUUAUUCUUUCCUUGGAAUCUAUUUUUCUUCUACCCAUGGAACUCAGACUUCUUUACUCAUUGUCCAGGUCCCUCCCUGAAACAGGAUGGAAAGCAUGGUGUUCUGAAAGUAAGGAAUGUCAAAUGUGGCUAGACAAAAACCCAUCACAAUCAAUAUCAUCGGGCUACAAAAGGAGUCUACUUGUCUACAGUGUACAGAACAGGCUGAGAUCACACUUUUCUUGAAGCCUCAUGUGAUGGAAGGGGCAAAGGAACUCUCUAGGAGAUUUUCUUUGUAAGGUUACCAGGUAGUGCCCUCAACAGAGAUCAUUUCUACCCAGUGCCUCAUCUCCCAAC
rnacentral:lncRNA from 1 species